rnacentral:hammerhead_ribozyme from 1 species
AACCGACUGACGAGUCCAAAAUAGGACGAAACAUGCGUCAACCUGGGU